GACGAACGCUGGCGGCGUGCUUAACACAUGCAAGUCGUACGGUAAGGCCCUUUCGGGGGUACACGAGUGGCGAACGGGUGAGUAACACGUGAGUAACCUGCCCACAACUUUGGGAUAACGCUAGGAAACUGGUGCUAAUACUGGAUAUGUGCUCCUGCUGCAUGGUGGGGGUUGGAAAGCUCCGGCGGUUGUGGAUGGACUCGCGGCCUAUCAGCUUGUUGGUGGGGUAGUGGCCUACCAAGGCGGCGACGGGUAGCCGGCCUGAGAGGGUGACCGACCACAUUGGGACUGAGAUACGGCCCAGACUCCUACGGGAGGCAGCAGUGGGGAAUAUUGCACAAUGGGCGCAAGCCUGAUGCAGCAACGCCGCGUGCGGGAUGACGGCCUUCGGGUUGUAAACCGCUUUCAGCAGGGACGAAGCUUUUUGUGACGGUACCUGCAGAAGAAGCACCGGCUAACUACGU
rnacentral:rRNA from 1 species